rnacentral:rRNA from 1 species
GCCGGAUGCUAGCUCUCUACAACUCCCGCAUGGUCGCCCAAUGAAGUGAAACAGGGCUGCGCCCAGUCAGUACUUGGAUGGGAGACCACACUAGAAAGCCUGGUUGCUGCCGGAA